UACGUAGGGGGCUAGCGUUGUCCGGAAUCAUUGGGCGUAAAGCGCGUGUAGGCGGUCCGGUAAGUCCGCUGUGAAAGUCGGGGGCUCAACCCUCGAAUGCCGGUGGAUACUGUCGGGCUAGAGUGCGGAAGAGGCGAGUGGAAUUCCUGGUGUAGCGGUGAAAUGCGCAGAUAUCAGGAGGAACACCAAUUGCGAAGGCAGCUCGCUGGGACGUGACUGACGCUGAGACGCGAAAGCGUGGGGAGCAAACAGG
rnacentral:rRNA from 1 species